rnacentral:rRNA from 1 species
GUGGGGAAUAUUGGACAAUGGGGGCAACCCUGAUCCAGCCAUGCCGCGUGUGUGAAGAAGGCCUUUUGGUUGUAAAGCACUUUAAGCGAGGAGGAGGCUUACCUGGUUAAUACCCGGGAUAAGUGGACGUUACUCGCAGAAUAAGCACCGGCUAACUCUGUGCCAGCAGCCGCGGUAAUACAGAGGGUGCAAGCGUUAAUCGGAUUUACUGGGCGUAAAGCGCGCGUAGGUGGCUAAUUAAGUCAAAUGUGAAAUCCCCGAGCUUAACUUGGGAAUUGCAUUCGAUACUGGUUAGCUAGAGUAUGGGAGAGGAUGGUAGAAUUCCAGGUGUAGCGGUGAAAUGCGUAGAGAUCUGGAGGAAUACCGAUGGCGAAGGCAGCAAUCUGGCCUAAUACUGACACUGAGGUGCGAAAGCAUGGGGAGCAAACAGGAUUAGAUACCCGGGUAGUCC